rnacentral:rRNA from 1 species
AUGCGUCUACGCGCCCAAGUUGGCGAUCAAGUCAUGCUCUUACUGGUGGACUCGGGGAGCACCCACAGUUUUGUCAGUCAGUCAUUUGCUACUCGCCUGUCUAUUUCCACGGAGCCACCGCCGCCCGUAUCAGUGUGCGUGGCCAACGGCCAGCGUUUGCACUGCGACUCCAUGGCGAGGCAACUAGCUUGGCAAGUUCCUGGACACCUUUUCCACACUGAUUUGCGCGUGCUGGAGCUCAGUGCAUAUGAUGGGGUUUUAGGCAUGGAUUGGCUAUCGGCGCAUAGCCCCAUGACCUGCCAUUGGCUUAAGAAAACAAUCUCUUUUCAGACUGCAGGGAAAUGGGUGCACUUGCGGGGAAUCAAAUCUUCCAAUCUCCCUCGCAUAUCUGAACUGGAUGCUUACGAGCUGCAUCGGAUGGAAGUUGUCAACGAUAUUUGGACAGCGGCGCUUGUCACCGUAACUUCAGUGGAAAAAGAAGAAGCUGCAACACCAGUACCACCACAAAUUCAGAAAGUGCUAAGUGAAUUUGAGGACGUGUUUGUGGAGCCGACGGCCCUUUCCCCACACCGGCAGUACGAUCACAGCCUCAACCUUGAGCCUAGAGCAGCUCCCAUUAACACAAGACCUUACCGGUACUCCCCUGCACAGAAAGAUGAGAUU